CCUCGGAUCACGUAGGGAUACCCGCUGAACUUAA
rnacentral:rRNA from 1 species